CAGAGAAAGAGUUAGCAAUGGCAAUGUUUGGACAUCUUAUGUGUGGCUGUGUGUGGCAAUGUGGGAACAUCAUUGUGUGGCGGUACCCGAGGUUGACUGAAGUGGGCUUGUGGGCAUCCCCUCUACCUCUUCUUCUCUACAGUCCUCUGUUCUCUUAAUUUCCACUAAA